rnacentral:rRNA from 1 species
GACGAACGCUGGCGGCGUGCCUAAUACAUGCAAGUUGAGCGCUGAAGGUUGGUACUUGUACCGACUGGAUGAGCAGCGAACGGGUGAGUAACGCGUGGGGAAUCUGCCUUUGAGCGGGGGACAACAUUUGGAAACGAAUGCUAAUACCGCAUAAAAACUUUAAACACAAGUUUUAAGUUUGAAAGAUGCAAUUGCAUCACUCAAAGAUGAUCCCGCGUUGUAUUAGCUAGUUGGUGAGGUAAAGGCUCACCAAGGCGAUGAUACAUAGCCGACCUGAGAGGGUGAUCGGCCACAUUGGGACUGAGACACGGCCCAAACUCCUACGGGAGGCAGCAGUAGGGAAUCUUCGGCAAUGGACGAAAGUCUGACCGAGCAACGCCGCGUGAGUGAAGAAGGUUUUCGGAUCGUAAAACUCUGUUGGUAGAGAAGAACGUUGGUGGGAGUGGAAAGCUCAUCAAGUGACGGUAACUACCCAGAAAGGGACGGCUAACUACGUG